CAGCAGCCGCGGGAAUACGGAGGGUGCAAGCGUUAAUCGGAAUUACUGGGCGUAAAGCGCACGCAGGCGGUCUGACAAGUCAGAUGUGAAAUCCCCGGGCUUAACCUGGGAACUGCAUUUGAAACUGUCAGGCUGGAGUCUUGUAGAGGGGGGUAGAAUUCCAGGUGUAGCGGUGAAAUGCGUAGAGAUCUGGAGGAAUACCGGUGGCGAAGGCGGCCCCCUGGACAAAGACUGACGCUCAGGUGCGAAAGCGUGGGGAGCAAACAGGAUUAGAUACCCCUGUAGUCCCUGUCUCUUAACC
rnacentral:rRNA from 1 species